rnacentral:rRNA from 1 species
AGCAGUAGCCGCGGGAAUACGUAGGGUGCGAGCGUUAAUCGGAAUUACUGGGCGUAAAGCGUGCGCAGGCGGUCGUGUAAGACAGGUGUGAAAUCCCCGGGCUUAACCUGGGAACUGCGCUUGUGACUGCACAGCUAGAGUAUGGCAGAGGGGGGUGGAAUUCCACGUGUAGCAGUGAAAUGCGUAGAGAUGUGGAGGAACACCGAUGGCGAAGGCAGCCCCCUGGGCCAAUACUGACGCUCAUGCACGAAAGCGUGGGAGCAAACAGGAUUAGAUACCCCUGUAGUCCCUGUCUCUUAUACA